CAGGUAGUCUUUCGAGGGUCGGUCGGUA
rnacentral:sRNA from 1 species